GAACCCGGUGCUAAAUCAUU
rnacentral:misc_RNA from 1 species